rnacentral:rRNA from 1 species
UACGUAGGGUGCAAGCGUUGUCCGGAAUUAUUGGGCGUAAAGAGCUUGUAGGCGGUUUGUCGCGUCUGCUGUGAAAUUUCGGGGCUCAACCCCGAACUGCAGUGGGUACGGGCAGACUAGAGUGUGGUAGGGGAGACUGGAAUUCCUGGUGUAGCGGUGAAAUGCGCAGAUAUCAGGAGGAACACCGAUGGCGAAGGCAGGUCCCUGGGCCAUAACUGACGCUGAGAAGCGAAAGCAUGGGGAGCGAACAGG